AGGAGACAUAUAGAUAUAGAAAGAAACUACCACAACAAGAGGACAGUCUUAAAUUAGAGGGGCAAAGGUUUCUAAAUAUCAGGAAGUAUUACUUUACUGAGAGGGUAGUGGAUGUAUGGAAUAGCCUUCAGCUGAAGUGGUAGAGGUUAACACAGUAAAGGAGUUUAAGCAUGCAUGGGAUAGGCAGAAGGCUAUCCUAGCUAUAAGGUACUCUAUGAGCUGUCUGACAAAUGACACUUCUCCCCACCACUUGAAAUAAGUUCAACAGCUGAAGUGUGCAUUUUAAUAGGCAUGUUUAAAAAGGUAAUGUUUGUAAUACCUGUUUUUAAUAUUUAAAUGUCAGGUUUGUACCCUGUGUCCCAUAUACAUAAUGUAGGGAUGUGAACAAACCACAACUCAAUUACAGCAGGCUGUAAAACAAUGCAAACACACAGUGCAAUAGCAAGCCUGGUGAUGGGUGUUUGAAGCAUAUAAUAUUC